AGGGUCAACCGAGCAGUCGCCGCUAUUUUUGACUUAGUCAAAAAAGGGGAGGAAAGUCCGGACUUUAUAGAGCAGAGUGCCAGGUAACGCCUGGGCAGUGUAAACUGACGGCAAGUGCAGCAGAAAGUAAACCGCCUAUUUGUAGCGUAAGUUAUUGAUAGGUAAGGGUGAAAUGGUGCGGUAAGAGCGCACCGCGUUGGUGGUAACAUCAAUGGCAAGGUAAACCCCACUCGAAGCAAGGCCAAAUAGGGUUCCUGUUCGGUUAAUGUUUUACUUAGGUAAAGCUUAGCGGAUAAGGCGCGGCUCGCGUUGGAACCGGGUAGGCCGCUUGAGCCAAGGAGCGAUCCUUGGCCUAGAUGAAUGACUGUUCACGACAGGAUCCGGCUUAUAGGUUGGCCCUCACU
rnacentral:RNase_P_RNA from 1 species